rnacentral:lncRNA from 1 species
GGAAGAGAACGAAAAAGGCAAAAAACGGAAAAGGAACGGAAAAAGUGGAACAAAAAGAUGAAAGCAGCAGCUGAAAAGGUUAUUGUCAUCCUUUCAAUACACCCAGCAAUGACCUCUGCCCACCAUCAAGGUCGCUGGAGACCAACUCUAUUGUCAUCCUCUCCAAUUAACCCCUGAAACCAACGACUUCCUCAAAUGACCACAUUUCCUCCUCCCUUCACCCAUCUCCCUCACGUUGGAAAUCUGUUACACACAGUAAAAAAAAACGCAAAAGAACAAAACAACGGGAAAGGUUCAUUUCCAAAUCAUCCGGGGCAGUGCAUUUUCACUCGAGGUUACAGAUCCGAGGUCCGGCUGCGGUUCAGCCGUAGUUCGAUUCAAGCUCACUGUUGCUUUGACGAUUGGAGCAGACUAAUUGUUGUAUAUCUGGCUGGAGUUUCUAAUUAAAAGUGAAGGAGUUUCUGCUUUAACUGAGGUCCACUUCUUACUCCUUCUCUUCUUCAGUUAUAUGUGUUCUUACUAUUAAUAUGGUGGAAUGAAGCAAUCUUGUGUGUAUUGGUUUGAGACUACCCGCAUACUCGUUUGGAUGGCAUCGUGCUAUUUCCCUGUUCAAUUCAUGUUGGUUUAAGGACUAAGAAAUUUUGUGAUUGUUGAAUCAUUAAUCAAUUGCCAAGUCUAAUUAAGAUUAAGAAGAAAACCAAUGAAAUAAGAGUUUGGAUAUAACAAGUCAUCGAGGGUCCCUUCCCAGUUUUAAUCAGUUUUUUGUGGGUGCUCAAAAACGCACUUUUAGUUAAUCAAUUUUGUUUUUUAGUUUCUAUUCAAUAUAGUCUACCGUCUAUUAAUUCUACUUCUUUCAUUUUCUUCCACGUCAUUUGUUGUUUAUGUUAGUAAUUGGCUGAAUUUGCUGUUGUCGAAUUCAAGGCUGAAAGCUAGCUAAGCUAAAAAAAUAUUUUUACGUGAAUUUAUUAUCGAAGAAAAAAAUUGUGGAGAUUAUUCCAAGAAAGUACUUAAUUUAAAAUUAGUUUCAAAUAUGAAUAUCCGUAGUUCUUUUAAUUGAAUGCAUUUUCUUAGAAUAAAUCGAGGUGUGCCGUGCCAAACAAAAAUGACAAUCGCAUGACCCUCGCUUAGUUAAUAUUUUAAUCCUUAGAAUUUGAGGCGUGCCAUUUAGCGAAUAAUCUAUGGCCCUCGCAUUAAUAUUAACUUAGUAUAAAAUAACCUUAAACACUCGUAGUUUGCUUUAGGCUUAACUUAGACUACUAUUGUGACUGUGUAUACGUUCGCGUAACAUAGUUGCAAAUUUAAUUCUAAAAGUAACUCGAGGUAUGCGUUCGCGCAACUUCGGCCAAAUCCUCCUAAUAAUUAACAAAGCGUCCUUAAUCGUGGACACGUUCGCGUGACAUGAUUUUGACGCGCCAAAGGAAAAGAGUAUACGUACGCGUAACUCAAUUCUUUAAUUACGAAUAACCAAGUGAUUUAAAAGUGGUAAAGGAUAAAUGCACAUAGGGUCUAAAGUCAGUAAUUAAAUAAUUUUAAUAAGCCAAGUAUGAUCAAAGCGACCGUGCUAGAACCACGGAACUCGGGAAUGCCUAACACCUUCUCCCGGGUUAACAGAAUUCCUUACCCAGAUUUCUGGUUCGCGGACUGUUAAAUAGAUUCAACUUUCCUCGAUUCGGGAUCCUAAACCGGUGACUUGGGACACCCUAAAUUAUCCCAAGUGGCGACUCUGAUUUUUAAUAAAUAAAUGAUCCCGUUUCGAUUGUCCUUUAAUUGGAAAAACUCCCUUGUAUUUAUACCCUUUACGGGAUGCAGUAAAAAAGGAGGUGUGACAGCUAUAACCAUAGCCUGAGAACUCUAUAGGGUACGCUGUGGCUGAGAAGUCUGCGGAGGUGCACCCCUCCCAAGUCUGGGGUAGUCCCUCACCAUAUGGUGUGUGUCACCACACUCAAAACAAGCUUUGGGAGGACGUGGCAGCUGUGACUGGCUCGAGCUAGGUCUGCCAGAUUGACCUCUGAAAGCACCCCGCGCGGGAGGCGCACUAGAAACCAGAGGUGCAUAAUAAGGCUCUUAAGGCCUAGGAGGAGCUGGAAUACCACUGGCUACUGGAAGAGCUGAAUUAAUAGGGCGACUCAUAUAACCCCUACCAUGAUGACUUGUAGUUGGGGCAUGGGCACCAGAAUAAUGGCCCGACUCUCGAGACCUCUUGGCCUCCCUCUCGUCUCUCUCCCUAGCAUGCAUACCCUCAAUCCUCCUAGAAAUGCUCACUACCUACUGAUAAGAAAUAUCCAUCUCCAACUUAUGAGCCAUGAUAGACCUGAUGUUGGGAAUAAGACUCUCAAUAAACUGGUGAACCCUCUCGCGAACAGUAAAAACCAAGGCUAGUGCAUGUCUAGCCAAACUAGUGUAACGGACAACAUACUCUGAGACUGUCAUAGCACCCUGGCGCUAAUGCUCAAACUGUACGGCCCAUGCAUCCCUGAGGCUUUGAGGAACAUACUCUUUCAGGAACAGAUAUGAAAACUGAGUCCAAGUCAGUGAAGCAGCCUCAUCCGGAUUGUCUAACUCAUAGGUGCGCCACCACUCAUAGGCGGCUCCUCAAAGCUGGAAAGUAGUGAAGGAAACCCUGCUCGAUCCUGAUAUACCCAUGGUAGGGUGUUACGGUAACACUCAUCUAGAAAUCCCAAAGCAUCAUCCGAUGCUAGACCACUGAAUACAAGAGGCUUGUACUUCUUGAACCUCUCAAGCCUCAGCUGCUCAUCCUCGAAAGCUGAUGCCCUAUCCUCGGGCUGAUCUCGGACUGUAGGCUGUACAAGAAUAAUCUCAGGGACAACAUGCACUCACUUCUCAAGAGUGCAGGCGACGGGAGUUUGUGCUCCUCCCCCGGCUUGAGAUGUAGCUGCAGCAAGGAGAAGCAACCCUGCCUGAGCCAAAGUGGUAUACAUGCUCAUGAACUAUGCCAGAGUCUCCUGAAAUGUUGGAGUAGUAGUAUCAGUAUGCAUAUCAGGUGCCUAGACUCCGACUGGAACUGCUGGUGGUACCUCGGUUAUAGCUCACGCAGGUGCUCUAGCUACAUCACGUGCGCGUCCUCAGCCUCUACCCCGACCCUGGCCUCUGACGGCUGCAGUAGGGGGCGCGGGUGCCUGAUCAUCUCGAGUAGCGCGUGUUCUCACCAUCUAUGAGAGAAUAGAAGACAAAAGUUUAGUAUUGUGACAUCAAAUCUCGCUCAACAAGGAAAUCAAAUGAAGUGGAAUUUUUCUAACAGUUACAUAGCCUCUAGCAGAUAAGUAUAGAUGUCUCCAUAUCGAUCCAGAGACUCUAAUAAAUCGGCUUAUGAUUCAUGACUCCUAUGAACCUAGAGCUUUAAUACCAACUUGUCAUGACCCUGGUUCGCCCUCUAUGAACCAUCGUGGCGGCACCUAGUCUCUACGACUAGGUAAGCCUAAAUGCGAAAAGAUAAACAAAUUUGCGGAAGAAAACAAUCUAAAGCAUAAAUAGAGUAAUAAAACAACGUUUAAAAGUGCGACUCGGCAUACACAACAUUAAUUUUCGAGAACUAGUGCAUUUUUCCAAAACCCGAAAUGUCAUGAAACCACAAGCCUUGGAAUAACUACCAGUGUCUAACUCCAGAAUACCUAACAAAGAAAAGAAAUACAGAAAGGCUAAUACAAUAGGGAGAAGAGAAAGGGACUCCUCGGUCUGCGUACGCGGCAGAUAUACCUCGAAGUCUCUGGAACAGUUGCCUCUCCUCAAGGGUAAUGGACUGGGUCGAAGUACCUGGAUCUGCACAUGAAAAACAUGCGUAGAAAGGGAAUGAGUAUACUACAGCGGUACUCAGUAAGUGCCAAGCCUAACCUCGAUCGAGUAGUGACGAGGAAGGUCAGGGCCCUACUGAGGUUAAACAAAAUAUAAGGUUCGACAAUGUAGAAUAAAACAAUAUAAAUAAGUACAACAAUAAAAGUAACACAAGAUAUAAAGGGCAGCAACAACUAUUACAGAGGCAAGGUAAACACAGAAAGAAAUAUGGCUCAGUACCAGAAUAACAAUCGGGGAUCUCCAAGGAUACCGUCCUGUAGUCCCAAAUAUACAGAUCCAUGGGUCUCCCAGGAUAUUGUCCCGUAGUCCAACUCAUAGUACGCGGGGAUCUACCGAAAUUCCGUUUUGUAGUCCCAAAUGUAAAUACCCAGUACUGGGGAAUCUACCGGGUGCAGUCCCGUAGUUCCANNNNNNNNNNNNNNNNNNNNNNNNNNNNNNNNNNNNNNNNNNNNNNNNNNNNNNNNNNNNNNNNNNNNNNNNNNNNNNNNNNNNNNNNNNNNNNNNNNNNNNNNNNNNNNNNNNNNNNNNNNNNNNNNNNNNNNNNNNNNNNNNNNNNNNNNNNNNNNNNNNNNNNNNNNNNNNNNNNNNNNNNNNNNNNNNNNNNNNNNNNNNNNNNNNNNNNNNNNNNNNNNNNNNNNNNNNNNNNNNNNNNNNNNNNNNNNNNNNNNNNNNNNNNNNNNNNNNNNNNNNNNNNNNNNNNNNNNNNNNNNNNNNNNNNNNNNNNNNNNNNNNNNNNNNNNNNNNNNNNNNNNNNNNNNNNNNNNNNNNNNNNNNNNNNNNNNNNNNNNNNNNNNNNNNNNNNNNNNNNNNNNNNUAUAACUGUGCAAGGGGAUCUACCGGAAUCCCACAUCCGUAGUCCCAAUGUGAAUACACAGCAGCAAUAGGAAAAUAUUCAGAAAUGUCAAAUUUCAUAUUAAGGCCAACAAGUAAUUCUAGCCUAGCAUGCUGCACAGAAUUCAGGUAAAACAGUUUGAGCAAAUAAAGCAAUUAAAUCACUUAGACAUGCUUUCCUAAGCUAACAACAUGCUUAAUAGUGCAAUCAAUUAAAAUAGGGAAGAAAACAUACUAGUAAUUACUUAAUAAAAACCGGAUUUCCAACAAUUAGCACAAGUACGCAUUGAUCACCUCACGUACAAGGCAUUUCAAUUAUCAAUAAUACCAAAUCCUAAGGGGAAGGUCCCCAUAUAAGGUUAGGCAUGCCACUUACCUCGAACCAGCUCAAAUCAAUCCGAAACCAUGCUCUUGCCACGAGUACUCGACUCCAAUGGCCCAAAUCUAUUCAAUUCAAUUUCAUAAUGUAAACAACACUUCAAGUACUGACUCAACAAAGAAAUUCUAAGCUAAUACGCGAAAUUAGGUAAAAUGACUAAAAUGCCCCUCGGGCCACGUCUCGGAAUCGGGUAAAAUUUACAUUUCCAGAAUCCUCACACUCUCACGAGUUCAGUCACACCAAAAGUACCAAAAUCAGACCUCAAAUAAUUCCUCAAAUCAUCACUCAAAGGUCUCUAAUUAGUCAAGCCCUAACCCCCAAUUUACCACUGAUUUUCCUUAAUUUUUCAUGCUUAAAAUGAUAAAAAUAAUUCCAAUAAUGAGUUUAGGGACCAAAGACCUUACCCCAAUGAACUCCUCUGAAAAUCCCUCUUGAAAAUGCUCCCCAAGGCUUCUUCCCGUUUGAAAAGAGGUGAAAAUGGCUAAAAUUUGCGAAGACAAGAAUUUAUAUGUUUCUGCCCAGCUAAUCUGCUUCUGCAGUCAUGGGACCUCACAUGUGGUCCCGCUUUUGCGAACAACCUGUCGCAUCUACGACAAUCACUAACUCAGCCUUCUCCGCACCUGCGAUUCCCUAUUCACAGAUGCGGUACCGCUUUUGUGGUAAAUCUCCCGCAUCUACGAAUCCUGCUGCUCCUGCCCAAUUCUUUUUUUGCAAUGACAAUGCCACUUCUACAGCUACGCACAUGCGGGACCCAACUACAAGUGCGGUUAUGACAGAAGAUCAGCAGCUUCAGCUGCUCAACAACUCCCAAUCCUUCUGACAACCUUCCGAAAUCAACCCGAGGCCCCCGAGACCUCAAUCAAAAACACAAACAAGUCUAAUACCAUUGUCCAAACUUAUACCAAUCCAUAAAACACCUAAAACAAUAUCAAAACGAUGAAUCAUCCACGGAUUCAAGCUUAAGAACUCCAAAACUCUAAAAAUACACUUUUGAUCAAAUAGUCUAUCAAACCUCGUCCGAAUGACCUAAAAUUUUGCGCACACAUCACAUUCAACACUAUAGAGCUACUCCAACUUCUGAAAUUCCAUUCCUACCCUCGGAUCAAAAUCUCACUAUCGAACGGAAACUUCAAAAUUCGACUUUCGGCAUUUCAAGCCUAAAUUAGAUACGAAACUCAAAAACAUAAUCCGAACACGCCCUUAAGCCCGAAAUCACCCAACGGAGCUAAUGAAACCAUCGGAAUUUCAUUCCAAGGCCGUCUUCACACUAUUCUAACACGAUCAAAUUUCCAACACUUAAGCUCUCAUUUAGGGACUAAGUGUCCCAAAACUCUCCGAAACUCGAAGUCGAACAUCCUGGCAAUUCAAAUUAGCAAAAAUAAAUUUGGAGAAAGCAGUUAAUAGGGGAUCACGACAUUAAUUCUUAAGACGACCUGCCGGGUCGUCACAGCCUACGAUUGGAUUGUAUGGUUAUCUAUUUAUGAGGUUUUUGGUUUUCGGCAUAUUAGUGGGUUAUUACGACUAAAGAAAGAGAAUAUCAGUGGUGAUUAGAGCAAAGAAUUUGAGCAAAUGUGUGUUAUAAUUGGUCUUAUCAAUUUAUGUUUAGGCUUUGGGAAGACUCAGGAUUUUUGCUUCGUUUAGAGGUGAUUUACAAGAAAGGUGAUUCAGCCGACCGUUUCUUUGAAAAGGUAUUCAUGUUAUAGCAGAGCCUUGGAGGUUAUUAUAUUUGGGACCAAGUCAGAGUGGGCGGCUCUCAAAAACGGUCCUAGUGGAUUCAAAAGUUAAAGUGUGGUGCCUAAGGAUUUCAAGUCCAUAUUAUGGUUGAGUAUCGAGUUUUUGCAGUGGAUUAUGAUAAAGGAGCUUGGUGUGUUCUAUGUUAUCUCCGGUAUACAGUGUAGUAUAAGAGGAAUGGGAGGAAAGAACCUUGGAUUUAUAGAAGAAUUAUUAGAAUGGGUGUACCAGUUGAAGAUGCAAUUAUGCGCACAAGAAGGGUAUGAAAUGGUUCUUGGGUUUUGAGACAAUGUGGUCUUGUGAAAUGGGGUCACUCAGGACGAGUGCAGAUUGAGUUCGCUAUAUUUUGAAUGGAAAUGUUAUUAUUCCUAAGGUAAGUCCAGGGUAAAUUAGAAGAAGUCGGAUCAGUUAGCAAUGGUUGAAUCGGCAUGAUGAUGGCAAUGAUCAGCUCCUUCAGCAUGUUGAGUUACUCAAUGGGAUUCGUGACGGUACAUGCGAGGUUUGACGGUCGCCGUAAUUGAUUUUAUUUGGAGGCUUUCGAUUAUUAUGGCUGGUUGUGUACAGAUGGAUCCCGGAAGAGUUAUGGUGGUUCAUACCACUACUUGAGGUUGCUAUUUUCUGCGGAUAUGAGAAUUCAGUCAUGUGUUGCAAUGGUUCUCUUGAAAUGAGUUAAGUAAAAUGUUUCUAUAUGAUGAAGUGUGUAUCAUAUUAGUAGUUCAAGAUUUAUGAUGAAAUUCUUGGGUUCUUGCGUAUUGGUAAGAUAGGUGCGAUAAGUGACAUGAAAUUUGAAAGUUAAGGAUCAAGGUUGCGGUUCGGUGUUGACAAGAAUGUCACAAGCUCGAAUGAGAAGAAAAGGAUUCAGAUGGUUAGAGUAAGCUGGUGUUGUCUUUAGUGUCACCUGAGAUCGGUGUCCCAUGUAAGAGGCUUGGUGUACUAAUUUGCGGAUUUUUGAUUCACUUUAUAGCAUUAGUAUGGCCAGUGGUAUGGAUGUGCAGAGUUGUAACCUGGUGUGGAAGGUCGUUGGAGUGUAUCCCAUGGGAAGAUGGUAUAAGUGUGACAGGUAGUCACCUAAUUGAUUAAAGAUUGAAAUCAAGUAUGGAGAUUGGGGUACUAUCGUUAAUGUGAGAAUUUAUGCCUGAAGGACACUCGGUUCAUUUGGUUGUGGACUAUGAAAGUUUGUUCCGGAUUUGAGGUUGUUUUUGUGUGUUAUGAAAAAGAAGGGUUAUUGUGAAUCCUUGAAAGGUUAUUAGCCUAGUGCGGUAAUAUUAGGCAUAUUUUCAUAUGUUUCGAUAUUAAUUUACUUGCAUUUUUACCGCUUUUUGGUUAUAUUUGAUAUUGGAUACGCCCAACUUAGUUUGAUUAUAAAGUUUUAUUCUUAUUUGGGUAUUAAUGGAUAAUGUAGGUACAUUGGAGAUAAAUUUUGAACAAAAUGACAAAUUUGGAGUAUAUAGUAAAUAAAUAUUAAAUAGAGUCUUUAAGUUGAAGACCAAAAUCAUUCAAUGUGGAGGAAACCAAGUGCAAUAAAGAAUGAAAGUAUUUUAAUAGUAUCUUGGAUGAUGUAACGAGACUUGAUUAUGUGGCAUUGGAAUUUAGUUGAGAUCUUCCAAUUAAAUUGAAGCAGCAAACUGAAUAAGACAUUGGAAAAGAAAGGUUAGGCAAUAGUCACUUUGGAAGAAAGUAAAUUGGCAGUAGAAAUUGAAAUUGCAAAAACGCUACUGUAAUGUGUGCGAGGCACUGCCCUGGACGCUUGAAGCGGGGGUUUUCUUGUUUUGUUCGAGACAAUGUUAUUUCGGUCCUACACGGUCUGAACUCGUAUAAAAGGGGGUAUAAACCUAUUUUGGAGGGGGAAGGACGUCUUUUAGAGUACCUUUUGACCAAGGUUGAGCAAAGAGCCGCUGUGGAGGCCGGGUUUCAUCUUUUCUUCCACGAACUUAGUCUUUUAUAUUUCUUUGUAUGAUUUGUUAUUUUGCUACCAUGUCUAUGUGGAGCUAAAUUUCAUGUUCUAGGGUUGUGGUUCUUUCAUGACUAUUGUUAUUCAGAUAUUGAUUUUGCCUUUUUGAUUUACCAUAUUGGUUUAUUUAUUCAAUCCUGCGCUUAGUUAGUUGAUUGUUUGAUUACCAAUUGAAUACUAUCUACGAAUCUAGAGUUGAACUCGAAAGUGGGAAUUUUAGAUUGCAUAUAGGAUUGAGUAGAGCUAGUUCUUGGACCUGGGCAUCGGGAAAUGGAUUCGCGGUUAGGAUAGACAUAUACCUAAUUGCCUUGCUUGGUUGAUGUACAGGAAUUAUGAAUGCGUUCUUGCUAGUUCUAAUUCCAUAGACAUAUAGGCGUUAGGUUAGCUUGAAUAGGCGUGUAAAAACUCGACAGAUUCUUAUGAGCAAUAUUAACCCUGUUAACCAAUAAAUUAGAUAAAUUAAUUAGUCAAUUCAAUUGAAGAAUACAAUAGGAAUAUUAGAUAGCCCAUAACCCUAGAUUGUUUUCAUAAUAUUGAUAACAUAAAAAUCUGCUCUUCCUCUGUUCAAAGUUCAUUAUUUAUUUUUAUUUAUUUUAAUUAGUUUAGAAUCAAAUACUUCUAGGUUUAAUCCUUGUUUAGAUAAUUAAGAUAGUCUAAUUUAGUUAAUAUUUAAUCACGAGUCCUCGUGGGUUCGAUAUCCGACUUCUAGUCACUUUAUUACUUGACGACCGCGUAUACUUGCGUGUGCGUUUUGCCGCAACAUGCGGUACGAUCAGAAUCAUUUUGAGGUCUGUGGGUGGAUUUAAAUAUGAAUGUGGGCUUUAUAUCAAGCCGGAUGUAUUCAUUUCAGCAUAGUGCUCCUUAUGGAGGAGUAUUUGGACGUUGGAUAUUAUUUCGUCACUGACUAUUUCAUGCAAUACUAUAUUAUACCGUGAGGGUUGUGAAACGGCUUGACUAAUUGCAUAUGUGUUGAGGUUCCACGUAGCGAUGGUGUUAUGUGAGCAGGAUGGCUCUCACGAUGCAUAUAAUAUAUUGCACGUUAGUUGUGCUUGAGUUUCGUGGCGUAUGGCACUAUCCGUCUCACCAGGAUUUGUAUUAUGCACUUCGCGUGCUUGUGGUUGAUAUUCGGGUAUUUCACAAGUAGGAGCAUUUUAGCUAGGUAAAAAUUUCCUUUAUAAGAUUAUUAUGUGUAGGUCGGGUGGCUCGCCACCACGGCUACAUUAUUUGGAUCAGGUGGCACGCCGCCAUGUGUAUCAUGGUUGGAUCGAGUUGUACAUCGCAACAGUAUUAUGUGCGGAUCGGUUUGUUACACCCCGCAAUAUUACGAUAAUGUUACGUCCUGCAGUAUUAUAUUACGAUAAUGUUAUACCUUGCAGUAUUAUAUUACGAUGAUGUUACGCCUUGCAGUAUUACAUUAUGAUGAUGUUACGCUUCGCAGUAUUAAAUUACUACAAUGUUUCACCAUGUAGUAUUGUACGUUGAAUUUGUCGUAAGGUAAUUGACAUCAGUCCAAGGAAAAGAUUAUUUAGAGAUUACAAGGAUUAUGCUAUUUCAAACAAGUAAUGAGUAAAUUCGUGAAGGUGAGAGGAUAAACAAAUUGAAGAAAAUAAAUUUCGUCGAAGUUUGACAUUUUGGGAUAAAAUAUGGUCCGAGCUAUAAUUUCGUCGAAAUUUGCAGGUAAUUGGUUAAUUACCGGGUAAUGGGACAUUACCUAAUUACCUAAUAAAUGGAUAAUGGUUAAUAUUUCUCACUCCCACCCCACGUGGCAGCCACUAUCUCUAUGUACAUAUGACUCAUACAAUUGAGGGAAAGGUGGCAAAACAUAAAGGAACUCAAAAUUUAAGUACAUAGUCAUAAAGAAUUCAAAACUUAAGUCUUCAAGGUUAAAGUGUCUUCAAUGUUGAAGACUUCAAUACAGAAGCCUUCAUGAUCGAAGUCUUCAAAUUAUUAGAGGACCAAGGACAUUACUAGCCAAAGAGAAAGAAACAGAUACCAUUUUCUUAGUUCAAAAUACGUUAGAAAGGGAGGCUAAAAUUCAAUUCAUGAAGGCCUCCAACGAGAAUUUGUUAAGAUCAUAGCAACGUAAAAUUUUGCAGUCACGACCCGGAUUUUUCAACCAUCGGGAGUCAUGAUGGCGCCUACUCGAAGAAGCUAGGCAAACCACAAAAUUAGGAAUCUUUAACUCUUUUGUUUUAAUUUUUUUUACAACUUAUAUUAACAAGUGAUAAACAUUUAAAUAACAGCGGAAUAUGAGAUUAAGCGGAAGACUUAGACAAAAUAAACCAAAAUGAUACGGAAAUCAAUAUAUGCCUCUACCCAAAAACUGGUAUCCCAACAUUCACGAACCGUCUAUGACUACUACAAACAAAUGUCUGAAGGAAAGAAACACAGUCUGUCUCGGAUACAAGUGAUAACAAAACAUAGUAAUAGAUAGAAGAGACGCUGGGCCUGCGGAUGCCUAUAGGGCUACCUCGGAGUCUCAGUGGACUGAAGGCUGGCUUCCCUACUGUUGCUGACCAAGUGCUGCUCCAGUAUCUGCACAGAGUGCAGAGUGUUGCAUUAGCACAACCGACCCCAUGUGCUGGUAAGUGUCUGGCGUAACCCCGACGAGGUAGUGACGAGGCUAGGACCGGACUUCAGAUAAACCUGUGCAGUUAUAUAACAUAUGGCGGAAAAUAAACCGGAAUAAACAGUUUAAAUGGGAGGGGGGUACAUGCUUCGGGGAACAUAUCAAAUUCAACAACAACUCAAUAAGAUAUGAAAGGACAAUUCAACAUCUACAACAAUAUAAUAACAAUACUGUUGCGGCACGCAACCUGAUCCCUUAUUAUUUAAUAUUGUUGUGGCAUGCAACCCGAUCCAUAUGUAUAACUGUUGCGGCAUGCAACCCGAUCCAACAAAAUAUCUGUUGCGGCAUACAACUCGAUCCAUAAAUAUAUAUAUAUAAUAAUAUUGCGGUGUGCAACCCGAUCCAUAUAUAAUAAAAGUGUUGCGGCGCGCAACCCGCCCCAAAUAUACAGUCAAUAGUGAUCAUAAUAACAGUAUCGGCAAGGGGUCAACAAUAAACUACACUAUUCUGGCAAGGGAAUUCAAUAGUACAAGUAUAUACGUCCCGGCAAGGGAGAAUCAGCUCUAACCAAUCUUAACUCAACUCCUACUCAUCUCAAUUAUCACCAUUCCUCAAUCAUAAGUAUCUUCCACGAAAAUAAACUAAGUCUUUACUCAUUAUCAAGAAUUCACCCACUAUAGCGUUCGUAGUAUCAUUUAAGAAUACAACAGGUAUCAAUUUAGGACUCACGGUCAUGCUCGACACCAACGUAUAGAUACUCGUCACCAUGCCUAUACGUCGUACUCCAAGAAGCAAUUAGCAAAUAGGACUCAACUCCUAAUCCCUCAAGCUAAGGUUAGACCGAACAUUUACCUCGAUGCCUCGAACACAACUCAAGUUUCAAUUAUAGCUUUACCCCUUGAUUCCACUACCAAUUCGCUCGAAUCUAGCCACAAGUUACUUAAUUACAUCAAUAAAUGCUAAAUAAAUCAAUUUGAAUGCAUAAAAUUAGUUUUCCAAAGUUUUAACCAAAAAGUCAAAAUCGCCCCGGGCCUACGUGGUCAAAACCCGAGGUUCGAACCAAAACCUGAUUUCCCAUUCCUCCACAAACUCAAAUAUAUAAUUUGUUUUGAAAUCGGACCUCAAAUCGAGGUCCAAAUCCCCAUUUUUUUGGAAAACCUAGGUUCUACCCAAAACACCCAAUUUCCCCCCAUGAAAAUCAUUGAUUUGAAGUUGAAAUCAUGUUAAAAGAUGUUAAUGAUUUAAGAAAACUAGUUAAAAAUGACUUAUAAUUGAUUUGAAGAAGAAAGGUUGUUUGAAAAAUCACCUCUUAUGUUUUUGGGGUUUUGAAAAAUGAAAAAUAACUGAAAAUCUCGUCUAUUUAUACCUUUCUCAGACCCCCUGUGCGGACCGCACAAAAUGGACUGCGGCCGCUCAAGCCUUCCUAAGGGUACUGCGGUCCAGUGCCCUGUGCGGACCGCACGAAAUGGACUGCGGCCGCACAGGCCUCCACCGCGCACCGCACAAAGCCGACCGCGGACCACACUGGCCCCCUUCCGCGGUCGCACAUGUUUUUGUACGGACCGUUGGCGGGUUCAGAGACUUGCAACUUCUCUGAACCUGCAACAACUAUAUUUUUAGACUUAAGGCAUCCCAGAACCUACCCGAAACUCACCCGAGCCCUCGGGGCUCCAAACCAAGCGCACACAAAACCUCAAAAACAUCCUACGGACUUAUUCGUGUGAUCAAAUCAUCUAAAUAACAUCAUGAAUAUCAAAUUAAAUCUCGAGAUCAAUGAAAUUUUCUCAAAACUUCUUUAAACAUCACUUUUGCGCUUAAGUCCGAAUUACGUCAUAUGACAUCCGUUUUUUCACCAAAUUCCACAGAAACAUCUUAAAUCAUAUAUAAGAACGGUACCGUGUGCUGGAACCAGAAUACAGGCCCGAUACCACCAUGUUCUAAGAAAAUUUCAUUUCAAUUUUCCUUAAAUAUAUUCAGAAAAUAAUUUCCUUUAAAAAUUCAUUUCUCGGGUUUGGGACCUUGGAAUUCGAUUCCGGGCAUAUGCCCAAGUCCCAUAUUUUCCUACGGACCCUCCAGGACCGUCAAAUCACGGGUCCGGGUCCGGGUCCGUUUACCCAAAACGUUGACCGAAGUCAAAUUAACUCAUUUUAUAACCAAAUUGUUAUUAUUUUUCACAGAUUUUCAUAUUUAAGCUUUCCGGCUACGCGCCCGGACUGCGCAUGCAAAUAGAGGUGACUCUAAAUGAGGUUUUCGAGGCCUCAGAAAUAUAGAAUUUAAUUUAAAGCAAAUGAUGACCUUUUGGGUCAUCACAUUUGCGGUUCUAAAGGAGUACGAUGCAAUCUUCUCUAAGAAUAUUUUACGGAGUUUUCCCUUUUUCGGGUAUGUUAAGGCUAUCCCUUCUUUCUUAUGGCAUGAUCCAUACGACACAAACAAAACGUGCAAAUGCAAAAGUUUCCAUACAUGACUCUAUUCAUAGAAAUAUUAGAGAUGCUUAUGUUCUUGAUUCCCCAUGUGUCAUAUUAUUCUAUCAUCUGUGCAUGGGUCUCAGAAAAAUAUGUAAGUUGAAAGAAAAAAAGGUUUACUUCAUGAUAUUAUUCAAAGGCAUAAUGGUCUUAUGACACUCUAAGAGAUAUUAUUAACGUACUUUUCAUGCACUGCAUUCAUGUACAUUGACCCAUGACCGGAUGACAUUAUAUAUACGUAUAUAUAUAUAUANNNNNNNNNNNNNNNNNNNNNNNNNNNNNACUUAUUUAUGUGCCUUACAUACUCGGUACAUUAUUUGUACUAACGUCCUUUUUGCCUGGGACGCUGCGUUUCAUGCCCGCAGGUCUUGAUAGAUAGGUCGAGAGCCCUCCAAGUAGGCUAUCAGCUCAGCGGAAGAUGUUGGUGCGCUCCAUUUGCUUCGGAGUUGCUUGUUUGGUUAGUAUGAUUUAGACAUGUACUAUUUGGUGUGGCGGGACUCUCUCCCGACCAAGUCCUGACCUUUACAAAAAUUAUAUAUUCUUAGAGGCUUGUAGAUAGAUGUCAUGUAUAUAAAAGAUUGUAUGGCCUUGUUGGCCCAUGUUCAGUACACGAGUGGUUACUUUGGUCUUAUAGGCCCGUACUUCAUAUGUAUAAGUUUGUAUUCCCUCAUGCUUUACUUCGGUUCAUUUACC